CCCUGCUUGCAUAAGGAAGCGAAACAGAAAGUAUUGAGAAAUAAAGGUAAUCCAAUCUAGCUAACCUUGCCAAAAUUUAUGGAGGUGUCACGUGUUAUUUCCCGUCAGCCACCCUGUUUCCCUGGGGGCAGUGGGUUUGGCGAUCAUCAGAAUCGUAGUGAAGCUUUUUCGAGAUCCAGAAGAAUUGUGAAUGGGUUUGGAGUUGUAAGCAAGGCUCAUACUGGGUUUAGAGAUAAAGGGCAUUUGAGGUACUACUAUGGAUCAGAAGGAUUAGUUGUGAGAUGUGGAGGGAAAAAGAAAGACAGGCAAACAUCAACAAAGAAGAAGUUGAAAUUGUUAAAAGAAUUGUCAGUGGUUCCUCAUAAUGAUUCUGUCGAUGAUGUUCAGGCCAACCUUAUCGCUGAAGCAACACAAUUGCUGAUGAAACAGUUGGAACAGUUAAGAGCUGAGAAGAAGGAGUUAAAGAAGAAGAAGAAAGAAGAGAAGGCGAAGCUGAAAGCUGUAAAGAUGAAAACCAAGCUUGACUGUGAAUCAUCCUCAUCGUCUGAAUCGAGCGACAGCGAAUGUGGGGAGGUGAUUGAUAUGAAGCGUUUGAAGAAUGAAGCAGUUGCAGAGCCAAUUAUUGGGGAAUUGCAAUCAGUUGCUCAGGAAGAACCAACUUCAAUCCUCCCGGCCUUGCUGACUCAAGAAUCGAACGUUACAGAGAUUAAUGGGUUUCAUAAUCAUGGUUUGGGAAUCCAUGGAGAAGAAUGCUGCGGUGUGCAAAGCACCAGUUGUAGCAAUGCUAUUAGGGUUAGUUGUAAUCCCACAAGUUCCUCCAUGAUGUCAGGAACAUCUGAUAACAGAAUUGAGGUUUGCAUGGGUAAUAAGUGCAAGAAGUCUGGAGGUGUAGCGUUAUUGGAAGAAUUUGAGAGGGCUGUUGGUAUAGGGGGUGCUGUUGUUGGAUGCAAGUGUAUGGGGAAGUGCAGGGAUGGUCCUAAUGUGAGGAUUUUGAAAUGUGAUAAUGAGGGAGUGGCUGAUUCUGUAAGGAUUCCGGCUGCUAAUCCUCUCUGCAUUGGGGUUGGUUUAGAGGAUGUAGAUGUUAUCGUCGCGAAUUUCUUUGGGAAAGAGUUGAGUGUUGCACUUGCAACUUAGCAUCAUCACCUCUUACUGCUGUUAUCCACUGUAGCUUUUUGCAUCCCUUGUGGCUUGAAAUGGUGUUUUUCCUGCUUAUGGCUUACAUUGUUAUUGGCAUGGCCAGAUAAAACUCUCUUUUCACUGUGUAAGUAUAAAUAUUCUAAUGGCAAAGCCGUCGUUUACAUCACUCCUCAUUUUUCUGAA